GGCACUCUAAGGGGACUGCCGGUGAUAAGCCGGAGGAAGGUGGGGAUGACGUCAAGUCUUCAUGGCCCUUACGGGCUGGGCUACACACGUGCUACAAUGGCGGUGGACAGAGGGUUGCUAGGCUGCGAAGUCAUGCUAAUCCCUAAAAGCCGUCUCAGUUCGGAUUGCACUCUGCAACUCGAGUGCAUGAAGUCGGAAUCGCUAGUAAUCGCAGAUCAACACGCUGCGGUGAAUACGUUCCCGGGCCUUGUACACACCGCCCGUCACACCAUGGGAGUUGGUUCUACCCGAAGCCGGUGCGCUAACCGCAAGGAAGCAGCCGACCACGGUAGGGUCAGCGACUGGGGUGAAUCGUA
rnacentral:rRNA from 1 species